GGCCAGCAGCCGCGGUAAUACGGAGGAUGCAAGCGUUAUCCGGAAUGAUUGGGCGUAAAGGGUCUGCAGGUGGUACUGUAAGUCUGCUGUUAAAGAGCAAGGCUCAACCUUGUAAAAGCGGUGGAAACUACAGAACUAGAGUACGUUCGGGGCAGAGGGAAUUCCUGGUGUAGCGGUGAAAUGCGUAGAUAUCAGGAAGAACACCGGUGGCGAAAGCGCUCUGCUAGGCCGUAACUGACACUGAGGGACGAAAGCUAGGGGAGCGAAUGGGAUUAGAUACCCCAGUAGUCCUAGCCGUAAACGAUGGAUACUAGGCGUGGCUUGUAUCGACCCGAGCCGUGCCGGAGCUAACGCGUUAAGUAUCCCGCCUGGGGAGUACGCACGCAAGUGUGAAACUCAAAGGAAUUGACGGGGGCCCGCACA
rnacentral:rRNA from 1 species